AUGGUUAACCCCACUGUGUUUUUUGACAUCGCCGUCGAUGGCGAGCCCUUGGGCCACGUCUCCUUCGAGCUGCUUGCAGACAAGUUUCCAAAGACAGCAGAAAACUUUCAUGCUCUGAGCACUGGAGAGAAAGGAUUUGGUAAUAAGGGUUCUUGCUUUCACAGAAUUAUCAGAGUUUAUGUGUCAGGGUGGUGACUUCACAUGCCAUAAUGGCACUGGUGGCAAGUCCAUCUAUGGGGAGAAAUUUGAUGAUGAGAACUUCAUCCUAAAGCAUACAGGUCCUGGCAUCUUGUCCAUGGCAAAUGCUGGAUCCAAUAUAAAUGGUUCCCAGUUUUUCAUCUGCACUGCCAAGACUGAGUGGUGGAUGGCAAGCAUGUGGUCUUUGGCAAGGUGAAAGAAGGCAUGAAUAUUGUGGAGGCCACGGAGCGCUUUGAGUCCAGGAAUGGCAAGACCAGGAAGAAGAUCACCAUUGCUGACUGUGGACAACUCUAAUAA
rnacentral:lncRNA from 1 species